rnacentral:rRNA from 1 species
GGGCGCUUUCGGGCGUCAGUGGCAGACGGGUGAGUAACGCGUGGGAACCUACCCAUUGGUGCGGAAUAACCCGGGGAAACCCGUGCUAAUACCGCAUACGCCCUGGUUUUAGGAUCAGGGGAAAGAUUCAUCGCCGAUGGAUGGGCCCGCGUCGGAUUAGCUUGUUGGUGUGGUAACGGCGCACCAAGGCGACGAUCCGUAGCUGGUCUGAGAGGAUGAUCAGCCACACUGGGACUGAGACACGGCCCAGACUCCUACGGGAGGCAGCAGCAGGGAAUCUUGCACAAUGGGCGAAAGCCUGAUGCAGCAACGCCGCGUGUGGGAUGAAUGCCUUCGGGUUGUAAACCACUUUCAGGAGGGAAGAAAUUGACGGUACCUCCAAAGAAGCCCCGGCCAACUACGUGCCAGCAGCCGCGGUAAUACGUAGGGGGCAAGCGUUAUCCGGAAUCAUUGGGCGUAAAGAGCUCGUAAGCGGUUCAGCAAGUCGGCUGUGAAAGUCCAAGGCUUAACCUUGGAAAUGCAGUCGAUACUGCUGUGACUAGAGUCUGGUAGAGGAGAAUGGAAUUCCCGGUGUAGCGGUGGAAUGCGCAGAUAUCGGGAGGAACACCAGUAGCGAAGGCGGUUCUCUGGGCCUCGACUGACGCUGAGGAGCGAAAGCAUGGGUAGCAAACAGGAUUAGAUACCCUGGUAGUCCAUGCCGUAAACGUUGGAUACUAGGUGUGGCGUC